CUGGGCCAGGCCAGACACCCAGCUGGACCCAGGAGAUACUGAGGUGAGUAAAGCCAAAAUGCCUCCCUUCAGCAGGAGGCAGGCAGUCACACCAAAGUGAUAAAGGCACAAAACCCAGAGGCAACAGAGGAGAAAGGACUACCUUGUUCCUGGACUCUGUGACUUCAGGGAGAGCUUUGAGAGGAGGACAUCUGAGGAGGGCUUGGAAGGAUGAACACAAAUUUGCCGAGCAGAAAAGGGAGCCAAGGAAAUCCCGAUGGAGAACAGCUUGGGUGAGAGUGUGAGCCACGGGACUGAGGGGCACAGGCAUGGAACUGGAGGAGCAGAAAGAAUGAGGGAGGUCAGCAGAGGUCAGUCACAGAAGGUUUGAAUCCUGGUGAGGGAGCAGUGGGUGCUGCACAAGGGACAUGGGCCUGGAGGAGAUGCAGUUAUCUCUGAGUGAAGAUGGAGCACGCCAUCCACCAGGGAACCACAAGAUGCAAUAGAAAUAAGAACCCUGAGAAGCCUGCACAAAAGAUGAGGGGCCCAGGGGUGGCACCAAGAAGGUCCCUGUCAGAGGCCAGCUUUGAACGGAGACAGAAAAGACUCUUGAGGGUCUCAGCUGCUGCAAACCUCCUCAACAAAUCAUAUUUUACCUUCAAAUAUUUGCUAAAGAAUACUAACUAUUGGAAGAGCAAUGCUCCAUUGAUAAUAAUUAUUCCCUCACUGUACAUUUUUUACAAUUCUCAAAAUGCUGUCGGUCCAGUGUCUCAUUGGAACCCCCAUAUAAUCCCAUUUUACAAAUAGGGAAAUGAGGCCCUGUGAUGUCACACCGAGGUUUGCAGCAGUUCCAGGAUAGAAAAUAGGGAGCACUUUCAUCUCAGCCCUUGGUAUAAGUCUCAAAGUUCCUUUUCUGGGAUGGGUUCCUUGAGGCCAUCCAACAGCCCGUAGUCCAAGAAUUCUUCUUCCUCCUUGGGCUUCUCCACACCUGUUUCCAAAGCCUCCUUCUCCUCCUUUGUUCUCAGGUACCACUACCACUUGUUGGGCAGGGAGACCUCCUGCUGCUGUCCAUCCUAGGGUGUAUCCUCCAACAUUGGUGCAUUGUGGUUCAGCCAGCACCUACACCACCUGAAGCCCAGGGCUCCUGUGGUGGGCCUGAGGUUCCUCCCUAUCAAAUGGAGAUGUGCUGGGAUUGCUUCCUUUGCUGAAGCCCAUGUCCAGGUUAUCUUCGGGGUGGCACAGGAUACAGGGCUCUGGGGACAGGCCAGAGGGCUGCAGGGGCAAAAACCAAGAGGAUGAGGGGAUCUCUGAGUCAGACCGCCUGGAUCCGCAUCCCAGAGACUAGCUGCAAGGCCUGGGGAAGACUGGUUCACCUCUCUGGGCAUAAGUUUCCUCCCCUGUAAAGUGGGAGGCAUAACAGAUUCACUCCUACAGUUGUCUCUGAGCUUUACAGCAGGUAAUGUGUGCAAAGUACAUCGCGCAAUGCCUGGCACAUGGUAGGUGAGAAUAAACAGGGUUACUAUGAUAUCAACAUCUGAGCUAGGUCACUCAUGCACUUCUCCAAUGCUUCAGGGUUCCCUUCCAUCCCUCACAGGGUAGCAGCAAGUGAAAGGGAUGCCCCUGGCCUUGAGGAGCUCACAUCUUCUCAUUUCCAAGGGCUCUCCAUCCAGUAUCCACACAUGCCUGGCAUGCAGCAGGCGCCUCAUCCACGUCUGGUGAAAGAGUGGAAAGCAGGUCAUUAUCAUGUAUUGUUUGGCACAGAAUCUGCAGUAGGGGACAGAGAAGUGAGUGACUGUAGUUGUGCUCACCAGUUCCUGUCCCUGAAUUUUCAGGGAUCAAGCAGCCUUAGCAAGUCUAGUACCAGGGAGUGGGCACUGUGUGGUGGAGCAGGAGGCAGGUCCUGAGAAAGGCAGUGGGGUGAGGAGAGGAACUCUGCCUUUGAGGUCUGGGAGAUCCUCCACCAGGACCUCACCAAAGGCCCCAGGCAGGUCAUCCCUCAUCCCAGAAUCUCUCUAUGCUCUUCUGUAUAAUGGGGCUAGCCUGGAAGAGAUACUUGCACAACCAUGUUCAGAGCAGCAUCAUCCACAAUAACCAAAAGGUGGAAGCAACCCAAGUGUCCAUGGAUGGAUGGACGGAUCAACAAAAUGCUGUGUAUGCAUACAGUGGAAUAGUGUUCAGCCUUGAAAAGGAAGGAGAUUCUGACACCUGCUGCGUCAAGAAUGAACAUUGAGGACAUUAGGUUGAGCAAAAUAAGCCAGACCAAGAAGACAAAUGCUGUAUUAUUCCACUUUUCCAAGGCACCUAGAGUAGUCAAAUCCAUAGAGACAGACAUGAAAAUGGUGGCUACCAGGUCCUGGGGAGGGUAGUGAUUGGGGAGUUGUUUUUAAAUGAGUUACAGAAUUGUAGUUUUACAAGAUGAAAAGCAUUCUGGAAAUUGGUUGCACAACAUUGUGAAUGUAUUUAAUGCCACCGAAAUGUAAACUUAAAUAUAGAUAGACAGUAACUUUUAGUUUAUUUUACCACAAUUUUUAUAAUGGGGUAGUUAUGCCUGUCUUCUUGUGUUGCUGUAGGAUUUCAUGAGAUAACAUAUAAGGAACCACCCAGCAUGUUGCCUGGCACAUAGUAACUGCUCAAUAAAUCACACCUGGAUGUUAUUGAAGAUAAAGUUACCUGACUUCUCUGAGGCUUGCUCUCUUCAGCUGAAAAUUCUCCCAAAAUAUAUUAGAUGAGACCCUACUGUAUUAUACUGGGUUCAUAAAUACCACUCCCCCUUCUCCCUUCCCACAGAGCACAAUGAAUAGAAGGCACUUCUCUGCACCCCAAAAGCUCCAAGCUGAUUGUGAGAAGGAAAUGCUGGAUGGAGGGGUUCCUGGAACUACUGUGAGGGACUUAGGUCAUGUAUCUUUCACAAGAAAACCACAGAAAUAAUGCUGUGGUCUUCCUAGGACAUCACAGCAGGAGGCACAUGAUCAAGUUUGUGCCAGAUUUCUCCACCACAAAGUCAUCAUUCUUCCAAUUGUAAUUGAGAAGUAUUUCAUAUGAAGAUAUUAAUUACACAUACACAUGAAUGUAUAUUUAUAUGUAAAAUAUAUACAAAAUAUUAUUUCAAUGUCUAACCAAUAUAAAAGUUAUUAAUUGAUAUGUUUAAUUUUAUUUCCUACUAAGUCUUCAAAAUCUGGUGUGUGUUUUACCCUGACAGCACAUCUCAGUCCAGCCUAGCCACAUUUCAAGUGCUCAAUAUUCACAUGGCUGUGGCUACCAUAUUUGUCAGGGCAGCACUAAAGCACUAAAGAACUUCUGCCUUGGAGAGGUUCUAAGCUUUCAAAAUGUUUGGCAAAUACAUUUUAUAAAAUUCUUCAGAAUCCAUAAAUAGGCAAUUACACAUUCAGUAAGCCAUAGAAUCCAACAUGACAUUAAAAAUGAAUCCCUCUACAAAAAAGAAGGUAGGCAAAAUUUUCUUCAGACCCAAUGGGCAAAUCAAUUGUGAUUACCUAACAUGCCCAUCAUUAUUUGUUAACAUCCUUCAUUAAUACCCCCAAACCCCAUCAACAGGUAAAUGAACAAAUGCAUUGAGGACUGUCUGAACAAUGUCCCAGUUUCUUACCAUUCGUACUUCUUUUGCAAGCAGAAAAGACUCAGUAUUAGCAAAGACUAUUCAGAUAGUUUGUUCUUAUGCCAGUAGUUGUAAUUUCCUGGAGGUGCAAUACUUCUCACAAGUACUUUCCUGUUUGGCCAUUUUCUGCAGUACUAUCCAUGCUCCCAUUUUCUCUAUUCUUUAAUUUCUAUCCUAGACUUUUCUUUCAUCCUAUAAUUCUUUAUCCUAAAAAUAUUAAUUUAAGGAUAACAUCACAAAGUAGUAUAUUUCUUCAGAUGAUACUCCAAAUUGAUACCUAAUAUACAGAAAUGACUAUCAUGGACAUAACCCACAACAUGUGAAAUGUAUGGCUCAUUCUACUGACAUUAUAAAGGAAAGUUAAUGACAACUGAAUUUCUAGUCAUUUUCCACCCAACCAGUUGCUUAUAAAAUGGCAAGGAAUUGUAGGUAUGUACACAGUGGCUAUUUUUUGGUGGGGUGUUCAGCAACUCUCCUCUUGAGAGCCCCCCUUUUCUUUGAGGACCAUUUCAAUGAGCACCAACUGGGCCUGACCCAACCUACCAGCCCCAGCCCCAGCCCCAGAGGUGAUCAUGAUGCCCAGCUCUGGCAAAAGACUCUACCCUUGGAUCAUGGCAACUGUUUCAGUACUUUUUUUUUGGAAUCAUCAGGAAGGACUCUUGCUUUUUCUACCACUGUGGUCUGCGAGGACAAAGUAAAGUGGGUUAUUUGUCGUACUAUCUCUUGCUACAGAGAGAGAAGAGAGUCAUCUUCAGAAGGAAAAAAUGAGGCUAAAACAAAAGGAAAAGUGUCAAGAGAAAGAAGGAGAACAUUUCUUGAUGAUUUUAUAUAAGCCCCUGGGUCCAGCUAUGCAUGACAGCGACUUGGGUUAAAGCUCUGUCACUUAUAGGACCAUUGACUUAAAUAUAAAAUAAAGUAUUAAAAGCUAUGAACUUUUAGAUGAAAAUACAGAAAAAAAAUCUUUGUAAUAUUCAAUUAAUCAAAAAUGUCUUAGAUGAAGCCCCAAAAAACAAAUGCACAAGAACAAUUAAUAAAUUGGACCCCAUCAAUAUUAAGAGCAUCUGCUAUUUGGAAGAUAGUGUUGUGAGAACAAAAAAGAAAACUCAAGGGGAAAAUGCUGGCAAGUCUCAUAUCUAAUAAGGGAUUUGAAUCCAGAGUAUAUAAAGAAACUAUUAAAAUUUAAUAAUGAG